rnacentral:rRNA from 1 species
UACGUAGGCAGCAAGCGUUGUUCGGAAUUACUGGGCGUAAAGAGUGUGUAGGCGGUGCUCUAAGUCUGUUGUGAAAUCUCCCGGCUUAACUGGGAGGGUGCGGCGGAGACUGGAGUGCUAGAGUGUGGGAGAGGUAAGCGGAAUUCCUGGUGUAGCGGUGAAAUGCGUAGAUAUCAGGAGGAACACCGAUUGCGAAGGCAGCUCGCUGGGACGUCACUGACGCUGAGACGCGAAAGCGUGGGGAGCAAACAGG